rnacentral:lncRNA from 1 species
GGUUGCUUUUACCGAAAUCACUUGACUUUGUCAAACAAAAUACCACAGCGUUUCUCUUUCCAAAAAAGUACACGAGACGACAUAAAGGAGGAGGCGUGGACACAUGGUGGGCAAUGACGACUGCACUUUUCUCCAAACAGACCAGCACUACACACUAUGAAGUAGAGGAGAAAGCACUGUGUAAAAGCAGCUCUAAUCUGACAUGAGUUCUUAGAGAUGCAGACAACCAUAUAAACUCACUGUGUUGACACUGAGCUCCCCAAAAUCCCGGUUUGCACAAGCAGGUUCCUGUAUGUGCCUGACAGGUGGCGCUGUUGAGGCAGGAGCAGGUCUGGUUGCACUGAAUUCCCCAUGUUCCUUCUGGACACUGCUGUGUACAGCGCACACCUGCAGACCACCAGAUGAGUUCACUCGAAAAACACAGUCCUAC